rnacentral:tRNA from 2 species
GGGAGGAUGGCCGAGCGGUUUAAGGCGCUGUGUUUAGGUCCUCCUAUCACUUCGGUGAUAGACAUAUCUGAUCCGCAGUGGGAAACCUCGUGGGUUCGAAUCCCACUCCUCUCA